rnacentral:rRNA from 1 species
UACGUAGGGUGCGAGCGUUGUCCGGAAUUACUGGGCGUAAAGAGCUCGUAGGUGGUUUGUCGCGUUGUUCGUGAAAUCUCACGGCUUAACUGUCGAGCGUGCGGCGAUACGGGCAGACUAGAGUACUGCAGGGGAGACUGGAAUUCCUGGUGUAGCGGUGGAAUGCGCAGAUAUCAGGAGGACACCGGUGGCGAAGGCGGGUCUCUGGGCAGUAACUGACGCUGGAGGAGCGAAAGCGUGGGGAGCGAACAGG